rnacentral:rRNA from 1 species
GAUGAACGCUGGCGGCGUGCCUAAUACAUGCAAGUCGAACGAAAUACCUUCGGGUAUUUAGUGGCGAACGGGUGAGUAAUACGUAGAUAACCUGCCUAUAGGACUGGGAUAACUAUUGGAAACGAUAGCUAAUACCGGAUAGGUAGAACGAGGGCAUCCUUGUUCUAUUAAAGUUGGGAAACAACACAUAUAGAUGGAUCUACGGCGCAUUAGUUAGUUGGUGGGGUAACGGCCUACCAAGACGAUGAUGCGUAGCCGACCUGAGAGGGUGAACGGCCACACUGGGACUGAGACACGGCCCAGACUCCUACGGGAGGCAGCAGUGAGGAAUAUUGGUCAAUGGACGCAAGUCUGAACCAGCCACGUCGCGUGAAGGAAGACGGCCCUACGGGUU